AUGACAGAAGAAGGGCCAGGUGCUGCCACCCACUGCUGUGAGGCUGGUGUUCCCUGUCCCUUAGAGAGGGUGAGCUGGGCUCAUGGGGAUACAGAGGCCGCUGCACUCUCCCUGUGGGUGACCCUGGUGGAAACCUGGGAGCUGAGGGUAUGGACAGCAAGCAUGGAGACCGCACCUAACACCCCUGAUAAAAACACCCUUCAUGUGCUGAGCAAUGACCCGGAAGUGAGAGUGAUGCAUUUGAGGCACCAGAAAUGCUCGCUGCAGUGCAGAUGUCAGGACCUGAGUUCAGAAAGCAGACCCCUAAAGGAGCUUCUGGGGUCCACGGCUUCUGGUCCACGUGCCCUCGGCUUGGAGAUUUUUCUGCAGGUGGCCUCAGGCCACACGUCAGAAAACAGACUCAGACCAUCAGCACUGAAAGAACUGAUGGAGCUCGGCCAGCCCAGUGUUUGCAGCCAUGCGGAUGAGACCCCCGCUGCUCGACUCUGGGAGAGGAGCGCUUUUGGCUGCCUGUGACAGACUGUCCCUGAAGUGCCAAAAUUGCGUAAGAGCUGAGGACAAAACCCAAAGAGGGUCGCUCCCCGAGUCACCCAACAUUCAGGCUUCACAUGCACGGGGGAAAAGUGUGGAAUCUUCUCAACGUGGUGCAGAGGUGUCAGCAAACUCAGAAUGUCCACGUCACAGCGAGGUUGUCUUUUAUUCCACUUUGCUGCCAAGGAUUUCAGCGGAACAAAACCAACCAGGACUGCAAACAGCACAACCGAGCGGAAAAGACUCAGUUAUCUUUAGCUUUCUUCAAGUGCUGUUUGGCAAGCUGCCGUUUUUGGAUUAUGUAUUUUCCACAAUAAGUCAAUAGAUAUUCCACACAAAAAAAUAGAAGCAAAAUUAGUUUGAAUGUUUUGUCAAAUUAUGCUUGAGCAUAGCUGUAUACUCACCCUGGCUUGGCAAUUAAUGUAUUUAUUAGCAUAUUUAAGGCACAAACUUUAAAUAAAAAACCUGCUUUACUUAAAAGCAAUGUGGACCAUUGGAAACCACGCAUCAUGCUAUGGAUUGCUAUGUCUCUGCGAUCAGCAGAGAGCUCAUUCUGUGUGACUGAGGUUAUAUUCGAACACCCGGAUUUUCCAUAUCCUGAUUCAAUGUUUGGCGUCUCAAAGGGCGUGGAGGGCUGUAAUCCCAGCACUGUGGGAGGCCCAGGUGGGAGAAUGGCUUGAGCCCAGCCUGGGCAACACACUAAGAUCCCGUCUCUACAAAAAAUCAAAAAAAUCAGCGGGGCGUGGUGGCACAUGCCUGUGGUCCCAGCUACACAGGAGGCUGAGGUGAGAGGAUUGUUUGAUCCCGGGAGGCGAGGCUGCGAUGAGCCAUGUUUGCACUACUGCACUCCAGCCUGGGUAACAGAGGGAGACCCUAUCUAGAAAAAAAAAGAAAGAAAGAAAGAAAGAAAAGGAAAAGGACAGGGAUGGAGAAGCAGGGUGUAGCCUGUGCUGUUGAAGGGUCCAUUCCUCUGUCUGCCGUUCCUAAAGUCCACUAGAGAACAGCAUGCUAUUGUUUUUACACCACUUGGUAUUUAUUUCUGUGAUAACUGAAGAAUUUAGCCACACAAGCAUCAGCCGGGUCAGUGCCACCGGCAGUGACCAUUUUUGUAAGGCUUACAUGAUGUCCAGGAGCUUAAAUUGACCUUAAACCUCAAGAAUCUCCUGAUAAUCUGACUGCAGUUGGCCCACAAUCUUUUCGGCAUGUGAAAUGACUGGCCAGGCCUUUCAAGAUCCCCGAAGACUUCAGCCCAAACAAGCAGCGGCCCUCUUAGACGAGCAGCAGAGAUCAUCCCACCGCAGCCCUUUCCCCUAUUUGGUAAGACCCCUCUUCUUGUCAUUAUAUUGUCAGCACAAUUAUUCUGCGUGUUUUCUG
rnacentral:lncRNA from 1 species